CAGUCGCCGCGGUAAUACGUAGGUGGCGAGCGUUGUCCGGAAUCAUUGGGCGUAAAGGGAGCGCAGGCGGGCGUGUAAGUCUUUCUUAAAAGUUCGGGGCUCAACCCCGUGAUGGGAAAGAAACUACAUGUCUUGAGUACAGGAGAGGAAAGCGUAAUUCCCAGUGUAGCGGUGAAAUGCGUAGAUAUUGGGAGGAACACCAGUGGCGAAGGCGGCUUUCUGGACUGCAACUGACGCUGAGGCUCGAAAGCCAGGGGAGCGAACGGGAUUAGAUACCCGUGUAGUCCCUGUCUCUUAUACA
rnacentral:rRNA from 1 species